CGAGGUACAUGCCCUUGACAGAAUCAUAUCUGGGACCCUUUGGUCCGCAGGCUGAUGCUCUAUCCACUGAGCCAAACAGGCUAGGGCUAAAAUAGAUGAUUUUUACUUCUGAGUUCCUGCAGUCUGUGCUUAGAGGAGAUAUGCUUCUACCACAAGAGGGAGUUUGAGUCCAUGGAUCAAGAGCAUGUAUAAAAGGAAAAGGGACUAUAAAACUUUGCUAGUAUAACUUCUAACUUAAGAUUAAGGAGCUACGACUUGGAGUUUAAAAGUGUGUGCUCUGCUUUUCUUAGCCCAAACAUCAUGACUGCAAUGCAGCACUUCUGGGACAUCUUCGCUAGAGAAAAGUAACAGCUGUCUUUUGAUGGGAAUAAUUUCAUGGAAUCUUCAUGGGAAGAAACAAGUGUUUGUUUUUAGCAUCUCUUCAGCUGGGACUAACACAAUAGGAAGCAUAAAGGAUUUUUAAAGGAUGAUGUGCUUUCAAAUCCCACAUUUGUCAGUUUUAGGCAAGUUUCGUCUCUGAGCCCCAAUUUCUUCACCUGUAAAAAUGGGGAUUAUACUACUGACCUCAUGAAGCUGUUACCAGGAUUAAAUGAGAACAAAUGUAAAGCAUAUAGUGCAAUACCUGGCAGCUUCGAGGUGCAAAAUACUGUUCCAUCAGUAUUACCGAAAUCAGAGAGCUGACUGGGGCAAUUUGGCUCCCUAAGGAACUUAAAAUUCUACCUAAAAUGAAUCAAUGAUGCAGAGGUAAAAGAUUCCUAUGCAAUCUGAAUCACGCCUCUAAUUUUAGUAAUGAUUUCGCUGCUUUGAGCCUCAACCCAGAGUCCUUGCAGUGGGUAGAGUUUUCUUCCAACUGAACUGAACUACACAGAUGUUGGUCUGUGCCACUCAUAUUUAUACAUCUAUGUUCAGAGCAGUAGCUUCUUCAUGACAAUCCACACCUUACACUUCCUCUGUGGAAUGCAUCCUAUUCUCCAUGCAGUGGGCAGUUCAAGUUAAGUGUUAUAGGCCAGGACCUACCAGUUAUCAAGAGGAAACGAUGUGGUAUAACUCAGGAAAAGUAUCUGAGCAGAGGAUGACUGCUUUUCUGUCAUAGCUAACCUGGUGACAAAAGCAAUGGUAACUGGGAAAGCACGGGAGAUUAGAGAAAUGAACACUCAGUGGUCUCACAUACACCUGCAAUGCAUCCCUGUGUUGUCUAGCUGCAGACUAAUACCUAUAACCUUACCUGGUGUCUAGAAAAAGCCAGGUAAGCUCGCUCUCUAGACAUGGAUGCCAAAAAUGAUGUUCCUAAUGGGGCUUUGAAGGAGAGGGCACAAAUGCCUAGCCACUCACCCCAUUUUCCUGACAACUGGCCACCCUGAGGGAUUUACAACUAUGGAACAGAAUGGGCAAGACCUUGGCAAACUGAGCAGAGAGGCGCUGAUGAACUACAGAGUUAAGGAUGCAAAGAACUGAGGCAGCUGAGGAGGAUCUGCUUCCUGCUGAGAGGACAAAUGGAGAGAGUUUUCUGCCCUGAGAUGCAUCAUCCCUGUCUGACCAGUCAUAGCUCAACCAUCUUUGAAAUCUACAUCACCAUCACCAGAGCAAUCUCACCAAUUCCUCACCUGCAGCAGGAGGAUGCUGGCCACUAACUGUUGGUAAAUCCAAAGAGCUAUCAGACAUGACAUGCUUAAGAUCUCC